CUGGUUUAUUAUAAGAUGUCAUUUUGUUACAUCAUUCAAAUGCAUGUUUUACUCUUUCAGCAUUCUGUAAGAAAGCUGAUGGUUUGAUUUUCUCCAUGCUUCUGGACGUGUUGAGCUCGCUGGUUCAGAACGAUGUCCUGGACACUCUCAGAGAGUUCUGUCGGAAAGGUGAAGCUGUGAUUGUCUCCAUGCUUCUGUUCGUGUUGAGCUUGCUGUAUCUGGCCAGUGACCUGGACACUCUCAGAGGGGGACCUGGACUCAUGUGUGAAGUCCUGUUUCUCUGGAUUCUGGCUGUUGGGACAGUCUUUACAGAGGAAGAUGGAGAUGAGCAUGAAGAUGGUACAGUAGGAAUUAUUUAAGUGUUAUUUUAGACAGUUGUGAUUGAAUGUGAUUGAGUG
rnacentral:lncRNA from 1 species